UUGCUUUAGGGAUGAACAAGUCCCUGAUAAUUUAAUCCAUUCAUCACUUUGUCAGCAUCACAAUUUUUAUGUUUUGCUGAUCAUUAUCGGAUGGUACAAGU
rnacentral:snoRNA from 15 species